AGCAGUGGGGAAUAUUGCACAAUGGGCGCAAGCCUGAUGCAGCGACGCCGCGUGAGGGAUGGAGGCCUUCGGGUUGUAAACCUCUUUUGUUAGGGAGCAAGGCACUUUGUGUUGAGUGUACCUUUCGAAUAAGCACCGGCUAACUACGUGCCAGCAGCCGCGGUAAUACGUAGGGUGCAAGCGUUAUCCGGAAUUAUUGGGCGUAAAGGGCUCGUAGGCGGUUCGUCGCGUCCGGUGUGAAAGUCCAUCGCUUAACGGUGGAUCCGCGCCGGGUACGGGCGGGCUUGAGUGCGGUAGGGGAGACUGGAAUUCCCGGUGUAACGGUGGAAUGUGUAGAUAUCGGGAAGAACACCAAUGGCGAAGGCAGGUCUCUGGGCCGUUACUGACGCUGAGGAGCGAAAGCGUGGGGAGCGAACAGGAUUAGAUACCCUGGUAGUCCACGCCGUAAACGGUGGAUGCUGGAUGUGGGGCCCGUUCCACGGGUUCCGUGUCGGAGCUAACGCGUUAAGCAUCCCGCCUGGGGAGUACGGCCGCAAGGCUAAAACUCAAAGAAAUUGACGGGGGCCCGCACAAGCGGCGGAGCAUGCGGAUUAAUUCGAUGCAACGCGAAGAACCUUACCUGGGCUUGACAUGUUCCCGACGAUCCCAGAGAUGGGGUUUCCCUUCGGGGCGGGUUCACAGGUGGUGCAUGGUCGUCGUCAGCUCGUGUCGUGAGAUGUUGGGUUAAGUCCCGCAACGAGCGCAACCCUCGCCCCGUGUUGCCAGCGGAUUAUGCCGGGAACUCACGGGGGACCGCCGGGGUUAACUCGGAGGAAGGUGGGGAUGACGUCAGAUCAUCAUGCCCCUUACGUCCAGGGCUUCACGCAUGCUACAAUGGCCGGUACAACGGGAUGCGACAGUGCGAGCUGGAGCGGAUCCCUGAAAACCGGUCUCAG
rnacentral:rRNA from 1 species